UACGGAGGAUCCAAGCGUUAUCCGGAAUCAUUGGGUUUAGAGGGUCCGUAGGUGGAUGAUUAAGUCAGAGGUGAAAUCCUGCAGCUCAACCGUAGAAUUGCCUUUGAUACUGGUUGUCUUGAGUCAUUAUGAAGUGGUUAGAAUAUGUAGUGUAGCGGUGAAAUGCAUAGAUAUUACAUAGAAUACCAAUUGCGAAGGCAGAUCACUAACAUUGUAUUGACACUGAUGGACGAAAGCGUGGGGAGCGAACAGG
rnacentral:misc_RNA from 1 species